rnacentral:misc_RNA from 1 species
GCAAUAUCCUAUAAUUAAAUAUACAACCAUCAUCUAUGUAAUAAAGACUUAGGACUCGUACAUUUUCCAAAAUAAGUACACAAGUAGCAAUACGCAAUAGUUCAUAUAUGUAAAAAGCAUACGCCUAACUCAUGUAUAUGACUCAAGUAUAUACCAAAACAAAAUUCUACUCCAAUGAGUAUGAUUCUUCUCUUUCUAAGCUUCCCAAAAAUUUUUAAAGCUAAGGAAAUUAGUUUCUUUGGCUCUGGUGCACCUAUGAGUGAGUAUACAAAUUAUUGGAAAUGGUAUCUAAUCCAUUUCCCAGGUACCCUUUUUCUGAUUUAUCCAAAAUUCAUUCUGUAUUAUCAUUCAAUGGGCAAUCUAUAUCAAUUAGCAACUCAAAAUAACCUAAACAUGAAUGAUCCGAAUCCACCCGACUGUUUUGCCACCUCUACCUAAAAUCCAAUCUAUGCAGUCUAGACCAUAGGUUCCAAAUCCAACCAAACUAACAUUCCGAUUCGAUUUAAAGCAAACCGAAUUUCCAAAUCCUCAAAGGCUCAAUACACAAACAUUUCUCAGAUUCUCAAUUUCCAAAUAAAAAAAAAUCUCUAUAAUACAAAAUCAAUGCAGAUGCAGAAUCGAUACAAAAUCAAUUCAAAUGCAACAUCAAUACAGUUGAAAAAAACCUAACACAGUACAGAAACAAUAAACAAAAUGCAAAGAACCCAAUGCAAUCCAACAAAUAAUAAAUAUAAUCCCUUAACCUAAACAGCAAACAAAAUAUAAAGAACCAAUCCUUUCGCAUUUUCCUUAAAACCAAACAGAAAAAACAUAUAUAUAAUUGAUAGAAACACAUAGCCAAAUAGAAAAUCAAGACAAACCCAUGCGAUCUAACAAAGAACCCAAUCAGA